AUUAUGGCAUUCUAUAUCUAUAUUGUGACAUCCUGCAUCCAUAAUAUGCACAGGAUGUCAUAAUUUUUUUUAAAAAAACAAAAGUAUUUUCGUAAUUCAAAAUUUUUAAAUGAAAAAAAUCGAUCUGCAGACAUUAAGUGCACGUUGGAAAGUAGUUGGACAAAAAUAUCUCUCUCAUAUUAUGAUAUCUGAGGCUAUAUUACGAUAUUUUGAGCUAUAUUACGACACAGGAUGCCAUAAUUUUUUU
rnacentral:lncRNA from 1 species